CUUUCACAAGGUUUGCUGAGAAAAAAAUAACAGCAGAAUUGUUGUCAUUGAAUGUAGCUGCUAUAUCUGUGAAACAGCUGGACUUCUGGCAUCCUGAUUCCCAUUUUCUGGACAGACAGACAGACAGGGUACUGGAAGGUGAAUGCUCUUUAACUAUUGCAGCAAUACCAAAGCUGUUUCGUCCUCCUGAGAUGUGAAUUUCACUUUGUGGUCCAGGUGCACAACAAUGUGAAGCCAACAUUCAGUCAUCUUCUCUACAUAGCCUAUAUCAUGGCAUAUACUUCCAUGUGUUUUAUUCUACUGCACAUCACUAAUGGGAAAAACUGACACAAUUGAAGAGGGAUUUGCAGAACCUAGCUGAUCAUUAAGUAGGUUCUGUUUGGAUGUUAAUCACUUUAGUGAGCAUGCAGAGCAUCAAGCCUCAUGGAUUACAAGGAGAGAACACUGCCUAGGUAUCUGGAUUCAGAGAGAUGGUCCAUUGCUCAGCUCUGUCAUAACAGAUCUAAAAAUGACAAACUCUGUCACAAAGAUUUACAUUAGUAAAGAUUAGAUGGCUGCUCUUCUGGGGUGCUUAGGACUGUGACCUCCAGUUCAGGAAUCUAAAUUUUAUAUAUGUGUUUAUUUAGAAACUGAUGUUCCUUUUCAUUGUAAAAGGAGUUCCACUCAUCAUUUUAAACACCCAUCAGAGCCAA